GAUGAACGCUGGCGGCGUGCCUAAUACAUGCAAGUCGAGCGAACGGACGAGAAGCUUGCUUUUCUGAUGUUAGCGGCGGACGGGUGAGUAACACGUGGAUAACCUACCUAUAAGACUGGGAUAACUUCGGGAAACCGGAGCUAAUACCGGAUAAUAUUUUGAACCGCAUGGUUCAAAAGUGAAAGACGGUCUUGCUGUCACUUAUAGAUGGAUCCGCGCUGCAUUAGCUAGUUGGUAAGGUAACGGCUUACCAAGGCAACGAUGCAUAGCCGACCUGAGAGGGUGAUCGGCCACACUGGAACUGAGACACGGUCCAGACUCCUACAGGAGGCAGCAGUAGGGAAUCUUCCGCAAUGGGCGAAAGCCUGACGGAGCAACGCCGCGUGAGUGAUGAAGGUCUUCGGAUCGUAAAACUCUGUUAUUAGGGAAGAACAUAUGUGUAAGUAACUGUGCACAUCUUGACGGUACCUAAUCAGAAAGCCACGGCUAACUACGU
rnacentral:rRNA from 1 species